AAAUCCCGUCUAAAAUUUUCACUCAUACUCAAAACAACUCCAUCUCUCUGUCUCAUUCGUCGCACCUCUCUCUCUCUCUCUCUCAGUCUCGCACCUCUCUCUCUCUCACCUCUCUCGCACCUCUCUUAUUCUUCUUAGUCUCUCACGCAAGGCACUUCUGUUUAUCGCAUACGUUUGGGUUUCAGUUACAUCUCAAUUGCGAAUUAGGGUUUGUCGAUUUGGGGGUUUUCAAUAUUGAGUUCAAAUUAGGACUUAUUAACUCAAACUUCUUCGAUAAUCGCUCUCAUUCUUUGUUUGUAGGUACGAUUUGAGUUACUGGGUUUCGAUUUGUGUUAAGAUAAAUCCCCCCUCUCUAUCUAUUGUUUAUUUGGGCGCUUGUUCAACCCUCUCUAUGCUUAUUUGAGUGUUCAGUGUGCUUAUUUUGGGUUCAAUUUUAGUGCUUGUCCUAUAGUUAAGUUAGGGCUUAUUUGAGUACAAAUUUGGGUCAUUGCCUGGGCGUGGUUUCGGUGGCUGCUCACUCCUAUGGAAGAAUCGCUGCCUCCGCUUCAAUUGAAAGCUUUGUUCGAGUUUUUGAUAUCCAAUCCAACAAUACUAUUGCUACUCUUGAAGCUUCUCCCUCUGAAGCUUGGCAAUUGAAGUUUAAUCCCCAGGUCCACCACAACCCUCUCACCCCCUCCCUCCCUCCCUCUCUCUCUCCCUCCCUCCCUCUCCCUCUCGAUUGAGCAAUUGAAUAUAUAUAACUUUCCUACUCCAAGACUAAUACUGUAUUGGGCAUGCUAUGUGUACUUUGAAUACUUGAAUCUUAUUAAGCUGCUAUGUGUACUUUGAAUACUUGAACGUCAUUCUCUUUUCUUUUGCUCUCUAAAUUGAUCCAUUAAAUGUACUCCUACUAUAUUAUUUCAGGGGUCUAGUACAUACAUAUCUUUCAGUGGGUGUUUUACUUCGAGAAUAUAUUCUCUUGACUAUUUAGCAAAUUUGUAUUAUAGGUUACUCAUUUUAGCAGGAAAAGCCCCAAUUGUAUGCGGUAAGAAGCUAUUUGGGUGCUUGUUCAAUCCUCUCUAUGCUUAUUUGAGCCUCUGAAUGAGAAGGUCUUAGCGCAAGUCGGUUGAUGGACCCUGUUCAUGGCUCUGAAUAUGUGCUAACAUAUGAAGACAAGGAUGGUGACUCGAUGCUUGUUGGUAAUGUUCGUUGGAAGUGGACUUUAAGUCAAAGUUGGAUAAAUUCAUUAGAAAAAAGAAAAAAAAAGAGAGAAGUGGUUCGAAGAGGAAAAAUCAAUAAAAAAUAUAAUGCCUGCAAGACAUUGUACCUGGUUGCCACAAGGUGAAGUCAUGCAAGUUACCUGCACUCUUUUGACUUGUAAUUUACUUUGAAGUUGGUAGAUGAUAUCAGUUUCAUCUUGAAUAUAUAAAGUUCAGAAGUUGCACCAGCUCAAAUUUAUAGAGAACUCGGUUUAUUCGGAUUCUACAAGAACACUAUUAGUUCAAGCAACUACAAAUCAAGAGCUUUCAUUAGUGUGGAGCAGGUUCUUAGUAAAUGGAAGAAGUAGAAUGGAAUGGAUAGGUAAAGAGAGGAUGAUUUAUGAUAACAACUCAGUUGAAGUUGCUAGUUUCUCAUCUUUUUGCUACUACUGGUGAUGUUUGGUUGAAUUUGUUAGCUACUUUGAUUUACUUUGAUUUGGUUUAAUUUGUUAGGUACUCUGAUUUGUACGAAAGAAAAUUUAUUGGGUUGUUUAAUAUUUAAAAAAUAUAUUUCCAA